GCCUCACCAACGCCAGGAUCUCCGCCGCAGCCGCCCGCCUCACGGAGCUCACCCUGUCAGAAACAAGUCUUUCCGAGGCCGCCCUUCAGAGCGCGCUCUCCAGCUGCCCCGCGAUCCGUACCCUCAUUCUCAAGUACGUCCACGGCCUCCAACGCAUCCGCGUCUGUUCUUGCGGCAGCCUGGUGUUCCUCGGCGUGUGGGAUGAUCACCCUGGAGGACGCCCCUUGUUGGUCAGCAUCCCAAAUGCUGUUCCACGGAGAGGCUGCUCCACCGCGGGUUAACUAGUGUCUCCGUGCUCCAAUCCUAAGAGUAAAAAUUUGGGCAGGUCUGCGGAAAAAAGAGAAAGUGAUGCAACCUUGUGUUCUUGACUUCCUGCAUGGUCAAUGUGUCUCUCAAAUAAGCACUGGACUAUACCACACCGUUGCAGUGACAAAUAAAGGAAGAAGAUCAGAUUCCUGGUACGCCCAGAAUUCUUUAGAUUCAUGUCGAACACAUCUCCAUAGUGACCAAUAAACCAACAAAACUGCAGUAGAUUCAUCAUACCAACUGUGUGGUUUCAGAUGCAGAUGCAGUAGAUUCAUCACAGCAACUUUGGGAUGGUUCCUUCCUCUUCAGGUGGAUAUAAGUCGAAGUGUGGAAGAACCAUGGUGAUCUGCUGUGCUGCCGAGCGAGGAAGAAGGUGAUGUGCUCGGAGCGAUGGACCUGGAGGUGUGCUCUGUUGGGUGGGUGCUGGGCGCCUGUGGACCUGGAGGUGCGUCCGGUUUCCGGGAAGUGCAGCUGGACGAUCUGGAGCUGCCGGCAUGCCGGGCGACGCAAUCAGAUCAUCGGUGGAGGAGGAGGUUCAUGAGGAGGCAGUGCGCCCUCUGAUCUCUGGUGACCUCAUGGCCCUGGCGCCUCGUGGCGAAGCUCUGGACGAGGGGCGAUGAGCUUCUGGCUAAGGGGACGGCAGCCAGCUUCCGGGAUCGAUUGGACCUGGGACUCGUGGGCGGAGGAGAAACUGGAGGCCAGAGGCGGAGUCGCUGGGUGGAGGAGAAGCAACGGAGGCCGGAGAUGCAGUCGCUUGCCGGAGGUGAGCACCUGAUGGUCGUUGGCCGGAGUACAAGCAGGGCGAGGGAUCGUGGUCCUGGUCGAGAUGCGAGUGGAGGAGGAGGAUGCGCGAGGACGGAUCGUGAUCUGAUCCUAAUUUCGGAGGGGUAGGGCUGUCAUUUUACCAGUUUUUCACCUUGUCGGAAAUUUCCCCCAACGUCUUACAUUUCUGCACGGAGGGAGUAGUUGAGAACUAACUUCGUGAUCAGUCAAUGCCUACGCCAUUUGAUUU